GUCUCUCCUCUUCCUCACCUCUGCAGGUCUAGGAUCUGUCUCUCCUCUUCCUCACCUCUGCAGGUCUAGGAUCUGUCUCUCCUCUUCCUCACCUCUGCAGGUCUAGGAUCUGUCUCUCCUCUUCCUCACCUCUACAGGUCUAGGAUCUGUCUCUCCUCUUCCUCACCUCUGCAGGUCUAGGAUCUGUCUCCCCUCUUCCUCACCUCUACAGGUCUAGGAUCUGUCUCCCCUCUUCCUCACCUCUGCAGGUCUAGGAUCUGUCUCUCCUCUUCCUCACCUCUGCAGGUCUAGGAUCUGUCUCUCCUCUUCCUCACCUCUGCAGGUCUAGGAUCUGUCUCUCCUCUUCCUCACCUCUGCAGGUCUAGGGAUCUGUCUCUCCUCUUCCUCACCUCUGCAGGUCUAGGAUCUGUCUCUCCUCUUCCUCACCUCUGCAGGUCUAGGAUCUGUCUCUCCUCUUCAGCUUUAGGGAUCUUGAUGGAGUUUACCUCCCCCGAGGGGGCGGAGUCCUGGGCUGGUGCCGCCCUCUUCCUGCCUUUGG
rnacentral:lncRNA from 1 species